rnacentral:rRNA from 1 species
AGUAAAUAGAUACCCAGGUAGUCCACGCCGUAAACGAUGAGUACUAGGUGUAGGAGGUAUCGACUCCUUCUGCGCCGCAGUUAAACACAAUAAGUACUCCGCCUGGGAAGUACGGUCGCAAGAUUAAAACUCAAAGGAAUUGACGGGGGCCCGCACAAGCAGCGGAGCAUGUGGUUUAAUUCGAAGCAACGCGAAGAACCUUACCUAGACUUGACAUCUCCUGAAUAGUGUAGAGAUACAUGAAGCCCUUCGGGGUCGAGGAAGACAGGUGGUGCAUGGUUGUCGUCAGCUCGUGUCGUGAGAUGUUGGGUUAA